rnacentral:rRNA from 1 species
GGCAGCAGGCGCGCAAAUUACCCACUCCCGGCACGGGGAGGUAGUGACGAAAAAUAACAAUACGGAACUCUUUCGAGGCUCCGUAAUUGGAAUGAGUACAAUAUAAACCUUUUAACGAGGAUCCAUUGGAGGGCAAGUCUGGUGCCAGCAGCCGCGGUAAUUCCAGCUCCAAUAGCGUAUAUUAAAGUUGUUGCGGUUAAAAAGCUCGUAGUUGGAUCUUAAUUCAAUUUAUAUUGAUCUUUCGUAAGAGAGUUAUCGAUAUUGUUGAAUAUGAUGUCGGUCUUUAAGUUGGCCUUAAUUGCGCUGAUUUAGUAGUCCGACAAUUUUACUUUGAAAAAAUUAGAGUGCUCAAAGCAGGCAAUUUAGCCUGAAUAAUGGUGCAUGGAAUAAUGGAAUAGGACCUCGGUUCUAUUUUGUUGGUUUUUAAGAACCCGAGGUAAUGAUUAAGAGGGACAGCCGGGGGCAUUCGUACUGCUACGCUAGAGGUGAAAUUCUUGGACCGUAGCAAGACGAACUAGUGCGAAAGCAUUUGCCAAGAAUGUUUUCAUUAAUCAAGAACGAAAGUUAGAGGUUCGAAGGCGAUCAGAUACCGCCCUAGUUCUAACCAUAAACGAUGCCAACCAGCAAUUCGUCGUAGCUCUUUAAAAGGCUAGACGAGCGGCUUCCGGGAAACCAAAGUUUUUGGGUUCCGGGGGAAGUAUGGUUGCAAAGCUGAAACUUAAAGGAAUUGACGGAAGGGCACCACCAGGAGUGGAGCCUGCGGCUUAAUUUGACUCAACACGGGGAAACUUACCCGGCCCGGACACCGGAAGGAUUGACAGAUUAAGAGCUCUUUCUUGAUUCGGUGGGUGGUGGUGCAUGGCCGUUCUUAGUUGGUGGAGUGAUUUGUCUGGUUAAUUCCGAUAACGAACGAGACUCUAGCCUACUAAAUAGGCUUAUUUACUUUAUAUUAAAUAAGUUCUUCUUAGAGGGACAGGCGGCUUUUAGCCGCACGAAACAGAACAAUAACAGGUCUGUGAUGCCCUUAAAUGUCCGGGGCCGCACGCGCGCUACACUGAGAGGGUCAGCGUGCUUUACCCUUGCCUGACAAGGCUAGGUAACCCGUUGAACUCCUCUCGUGAUUGGGAUAGGAGCUUGUAACUAUUCUCCUUGAACGAGGAAUUCCCAGUAAUCGCGAGUCAUCAGCUCGCGUUGAUUACGUCCCUGCCCUUUGUACACACCGCCCGUCGCUACUACCGAUUGAAUGAUUUAGUGAGGUCUUCGGACGACGUUGAAUGAGAUGC